UACGUAGGUCCCGAGCGUUGUCCGGAUUUAUUGGGCGUAAAGCGAGCGCAGGUGGUUUAUUAAGUCUGGUGUAAAAGGCAGUGGCUCAACCAUUGUAUGCAUUGGAAACUGGUAGACUUGAGUGCAGGAGAGGAGAGUGGAAUUCCAUGUGUAGCGGUAAAAUGCGUAGAUAUAUGGAGGAACACCGGUGGCGAAAGCGGCCCUCUGGCCUGUAACUGACACUGAGGCUCGAAAGCGUGGGGAGCAAACAGG
rnacentral:rRNA from 1 species